UACAGAGGUCUCAAGCGUUGUUCGGAUUCAUUGGGCGUAAAGGGUGUGUAGGUGGCGCCGUAAGUCGGGUGUGAAAUUUCGGAGCUUAACUCCGAAACUGCAUUCGAUACUGCGGUGCUUGAGGACUGGAGAGGAGACUGGAAUUCAUGGUGUAGCAGUGAAAUGCGUAGAGAUCGUAAGGAAGACCAGUGGCGAAGGCGGGUCGUCUGGACAGUUCCUGACGCUGAGGCACGAAGGCCAGGGGAGCAAACGGG
rnacentral:rRNA from 1 species